rnacentral:lncRNA from 10 species
GCGUGAGUGCGUGCGUGCGUGCGUUCGGCGCGCGGGGCGUGGGCGCGGCACCUGGGCCCGGGCACCGCCACCUAGGCCCUAGCUCCGACCAGUGGUGUUCUAUAAACGCUUAUUACAUCAUUGUGCAUAGGCUUCAUUUUUAAAAGUACUCCCAAAUAAAUACAAGGAGGCGAUGGAAAUUGAAUGAAGAUUCGAAGGAUUCCCAUAGAGCGUGGCUCACUUCCCCUCACCGGGACAGCGAGCGGCGGCUCACCUGGGAGAGCAAAGCGUGGCUCUCCUGCGCCCACCCGGGAGAGCAAACAAUGGCUCACCUGCGCCCACCCGGGAGAGCAACGGAUCCACUUAGGUCAGCGGUUAAAACGUCGUUACAAGAGGCCACCCCGGCAUCGCGGGGCCUGUGGCUGCGCCCCCUCUUGAAUUCAGGCCUAGCACAUCACCUCCGCCCCUCGCACCCUGCAGUCUGCGCUCCAUACAGCACGUGAGCGGGUGCUCAGCAAUGUUCCCUGGCUGAAAGAACCGCAUAGAGUAGCAUGCAAAAAUGACAUGCAUGUUUAAGAUAAAAUAAGGGAGAGGACACCUGUUCUGACUGAGUCUGGCAACUCAGAUCUCCCCGCAGCCAACAUCUACAUUCCUUUGGACAGCUGUCUGCUGUGUAGGGACACCUCCCUGGAACUUUGAAAAGCACCCCAUCAUUACCUUCCACUUUGUUCUGGAGCAAGGUUUCAAAAGAAGAGUGCCGUAUUUUGAUUAAUUUAGUGAAUUGGAUUUUCAGACACAAGUAAGAGCAUCCACUCAGUGGCCUCUGCAGUAAAUAAUGAUAUCAGAUCACAUAACAAGAAGACUGGAGGUUGGCGGGAAAUCUGGACCUGGUGACUCAAAGAAGUCAUGAAGGACCAUCUCUCCAUUCUGCCACCUUCUCGCCUGUGGAUUUUCCUCCCCAGGCUUGUCACUUCAUUGUCGAGAGAUGCCCUCACAAUCCAAGCCAGGCAGCCUCACAUGACCAGAUCUAAAACACAAAGAGGGAGCCAAACUGAGAAAGGACCUUUUCCCUCUGAACACUUCUCUCUUGGAAAAAGAAAAUGUUUCCCAGAAAGCCUCAUAGCCUUCCUCUUAUAUCUCCUUGACUAACUGGGACCCGGAUCCCUGGAUAUCCUUUCCUGAGAAAGAGAGGGUCUGGGGCAGGGGAUAGAGAAAAUGACUAGCAACUAGCAGCACAUGAUGUUUAAACAUAAGAUUUAAAGAAAUGCAAGGCACAAACAAUUUGAAGACUUUUUUUAAGUUUUUAAAAUCUUCACAAAAUAAAAAGGAAUUGGACAAUGCACUUUAAAAACUAGAAGACGUUUCACUGAAAACAGCAUCUCCUAAUUCAUUUCAUGGCUUAGAUAGUAAUAGAAAAUUAUUUUAUUCUAAUUCCAUACUUUAUCAACUAAUUUUAAUUAUUUUAUAAUUACCCAAAAUAUGUCAUGUAGAAUGAAAAUAAAAGAAAAUGAAAACAGUUAUAUCAAGGCCAAGUCAGUUGUAUGUUUACUGGCUAUUUAGAAAUUUCUAAAUACGUGUAUAUUUAGAAAUGACUAUAUAGAUACUAUUUGGGUAAUGUUAGGGAUGGAAAGUUUAUGUCCCCCCAAAAUUUGUAUGUUGAAAUCCUAAGCCCAAUGUGAUGGUUUUAAGGGGCGGGGCCUUUGUGAGGUGAUUAGGUCAUGAGAGUGGAGACUUCAUGGAUGAGAAUAGUAAGUAUCCUUAUAAAAGAGACUCCAGAGGCUGGGUGCAGUGUCUCAUGCCUGUAAUCCCAGCACUUUGGGAGGCCGAGGCAGGUGGAUCGCCUGGGGUCAGGAGUUCGAGACCAGCCUGGCCAACAUGGCAAAACCCUGUCUCUACUAAAAAUACAAAAAUUAGCCAGGUGUUGUGGUGGGCACCUGUAAUCCCAGCUACUUAGGAGGCUGAGGCCUGAGAAUUGCUUGAACCCAGGAGGUGGAGGUUGCAGUGAACUGAGAUCGCGCCACUGCACUCCAGCCUGGGGGACGGAGUGAGACUGUCUCCAAAAAAUAAAAUACAAUAAAAGAGACUCCAAAGAACUUUCUAGCCCUCUUGCCACCACCUAAGGAUGCAAAGAGUUGACAGCAACCUGGAAGAGCCCUCACCAGAACUCGACCAUUCUGGCACUCUGACUUCCAGCCUCCACUGUGAGAAAUAAAUUUCUAUUGUUUAUGAGCCACUCAGCAUAUGGUACUUUGUAGCCCUAGACAGGCUAAGACAGGUAAUUAGCAAUUUUAGGUGAUUUUCAUCAUCAAAAUUUUCAUGAUGGCAUUUUGGAGAAUUCACAUAAACCACUCUGUUACCCUCCUAAAAGUAUUGCUCAAAUACUGAAUUAUAUUUAUGCUUGCCAAAGUUAAUUUUUUUCCAACAAGUAACACUAGCCACUUCAUUUUGUGCUUUUGAUACAAAAGCAUUUCCCAAUCCAGCGGCUUUCAUCUUCUGGCCUGGUUGGCAAAAGUGUAACUCACUUCUGCACCCUCUCUGAACCCUAGUCUCCUCCUCAAAUGUAAAACAGUAAUAAACCUUUCUUACCCAGGAAGCCAUUAUAAGGAUUAUAAUCAACAUAAGAUAUAAUUCUUUAAUUAUCAAAGCAGUUGCUGGCAUGUGGCAGGCAUUCAACAGAAACCGUGUUGCUAUGUUAUUUUUAUUGUUACCAUUAAUAUUCCUAUUGGGAUUGAAACCCUUAUGUCAUAUCAAAACUUUUCCAUCUUUGACAAAUGAGACAUAUUAGGAUAGUAUCUUAAUAAUAUGUAAGAGUUUAGUGCUUGAGCUAUUCAAUUAUUAAACUUUGCUUCCAAGACCACAGACUGGUGGUAUAUACUGUGUGCGUGUGUGUGUGUGUGUGUGUUUGUGUGUGUGUAUGAGAAAGAAUAUGCUGUUCUUUUCUUCUUCUGGGUAGAAGUUGUUGAGCCUUCAAGGGAAGAGGUUUUCACCUACAGCAGACAGUGCCAGUUCUCUUGGUGUGAGGGAUUCUGGGAGAUGGCUGCCCAUUUCCAUAUUCAUGAAUUUUAUAAACAUGGUCUCAGAUAAAUGCAAGUGUACACUUCGGUGAGCUCAUUUGUUUUUGAGCAGAGGGGAUAAUACGGCCCUAAAUAAUGUGCUUCCCUGUCAGCCAGGAGAGUUACAUUCUGGAGAUGUGUGUGUCGGUGGGUGCGGGAGGCAGGUGGUGUUGAGGAGAUAGGGAAGCCAACAGGACAAAGCUCAGAGGGAAAACAGCCCAAUCUAAAUCCAGUUCUUUCUCUGUGUGGAUUCCCACUGACUUCCAAACCUCUCAGCUCCCUGACUCAGUGGUAAGGAAGAAAAAAGUACCAGGAUUGAGGGGAUGGUGUUCUAGCCCUCCAGCAGAGGAGUAAGAUGUGUGAGCCCAGGGUGAAGCAAGUGCACAAUUUUAGUAAAAGAUUUUCAUUGGCCAUACUGAAUGAAUCAUAAAGGGAUGUGAAGAGGCUACCUCUGGCAUCAUUGUCAUAAACACAGCUGGUGAGGGGGGAGGUGGUGUUCUCCUGGUGUCAAAAGACAAAAUUAUUUACAGAUCAAAUUGGCUUUUAUUCAUGAUUCAUGAAUCCAGUAGCCUCCAUUCUAUAAAAUAGAAUUAGAGUUCCCACUGGGGAAUGGCAGAACAGUGGUUUUGUAAGGUGGGAACAAGGAAACAGUAUUAUUUUAAAGGUUGAUUGGUUAGUGUCAGCUUAAUUCAGACUACUUUUCUCGUCAUGGUUAAAGCAAAUGGGACUUCCUUAUUACUCUGACUCAGGCAGACUGAACUCUUUCUGAUGGGUUGCUGUGACUCUUGUUUUCAAGAAAAACUGGUCUAUUUGGGGACCACCAGCUUUCUUAAAGUUUCAGCUUGGUUAAAUGGCACUUAGCAUGAGUGACUCCACUUUAGUUUGGUCUGUUGGGACCUAGUGCAGGAGCUCACUCUAAAACAAUGCCCUCCCGUAAUUUUUCUAUAGCACCUGAAACGGGGUAGAGCAGAGAUUGAAGGAAACAUUUGCUUGGGUCGUCAUUUUCCUCAAGGACUGCGCUACCAAUUGGAGUCAACACUUCUAGGUGCCUCCAGUUUGGUACAGUAUGUAAGGGGUUGAAUUGCAUCCCCCAAACAGAUAUGUUGAAGCCCUAACCCCUGGCACCUGUGAAUGUGGCCUUAUUUGGAAAGAGGGUUGUUACAGCCAUAAUCCAGUUAAGAUGAGGUCCUUCUGGAUUAGGGUGGGCCCUCAUCUGAUUGAUUGGUGUCCUUAUAAAGAAAAGGAAAAGAGUCACAGAGGGAAGAAGGCCAUGUGAAGAUGGGGGCAGAGAUUGGAGUGAUGCUGUCACAAGCCAAGGAAUGUCUGGGUUACCAACAGCUGGACUUUGUAGACAGCAUGGCCCUGCCAACACCUCGAUUUCAGUUUCUGCCUCCAGAACUGUGAGAGAACACGUUUAUGUUAUUUGAAGACACUGAGACUGCCGUCCAUUGUUCCAGCAGCCACAGGAAACGAAUGCCCUGCAUUCUUACAGCACUGCGGCAGGGGUGGAGUGAUUAAGAGCAGGGGCUAUGGAGUCAGCUUUCCAGGGUUCAAGUCCUAGCUCCACUGCUCAGGAGCCACUACUGAGAAUUGUUCAGAAUCAACCCAGCUGAGGUCUGAAGAUCAUUUAGACCGGAGCCUCGCCCACGAAGUUGAAGUCAUCUUCAAGUAAAACCUGUGUAUUGUUAAUGUAUCCAGAACAGUGCCUGACAUAUACUAGGCACUCAGUGAACAUUUGCUGAAUAAAUGAAUGCCGUUUAAAAACAUCCAAGGAUGCUGUAUCUUUGUCUACUUUGGAGGGAAUGUCUGUAUCACAAGAAUAAAUUUGAUACAACAUAGAACAAGAUGAUCAUCUGACACAAUUAGUAUUUCACUUGAAUUGUUUAUUAGGCAUUUAGCCACAUGACAAAAGACAAUUUGAAGACCACAGAUAUAAUUUCA